UCUGUUAGAAGGCAAGCCAAAUAAGAAAGGAGUACCAAGCCUCUCCAUCUUCUUGCUCCCUAUAUCUCCUAUCGAUAAUGGCACUUCUCAGUAAGGAUAGCACGGUUAUGUUCCUAGCAGCUCUUGCUGUCAUGGCCAUGGCUAUGAUAGUUUUGUCAUCACCCUACGCACAAGCCGAUUAUUGCCACCAGAUCGUACCAUGCAACGAGUCGACUUGCAGCAAUUUCUGCUCGAAGAAUAACUUCAAGAACUUUGUGCCGAAUUGCCUGCCAGGAAGGAUGUAUGACUACUGCUGCUGCAACAUAACCAGGGGGCUAGACUUUUGAUCAUAAUAUCCGUAGAUGGAAAUUAAUAUAGUAUGGAGCAUCUUCUGCUUGAAAAUUACAUGUAAUCGUGAAUGUGGAAUGGAGAGAUAAUAAUAUUGCUCCGCAUAA